UACCUGUUUUUAUUUCUUUAUUUUUAAGUUUCUGCCUAUUGAAAUGUUCUUCAGUUUUUCCAAAACUGUACUAUUGAGGAAGUUACAAUUCACAAUUAUGGAUAACUAAAGAAUGGAUGCACUUCACUACAUGGCACUGCAAAAACAACUGCUUUGUACAUCCCAUGACAUCGAUAUUUUAUAUUCCUAUUGUGGCUCUGGGAGAGAUACAUUCUUCUUUUCAGUGGAGCCAUGUUUGUUACGGGAUCAUACAGAAUGGCAAGGUACUAUUUUCUGGAUUCCAAAGGCUGAUUUGACAGUUGUUGACGCACGCAUACAGUUGUGGAAUGGACCUUUAAAAGCCUUAAAAUGGGAGAGUACUGUUUGUCAUGGUGUGGAUGAUGACUAUUCAUAUUGUGGAACUCUGAAGGGAGAAACAAUCAAGACAACUGUGAGAAUCAAAAAUUCAAAUUCACAAUAUCUGAAGCUUUUAAAGGGGGAAUACAUUGUAUCUCUUGAAGUAUUCACAGGUCUGAAGGAGUUGGUAACUUGUGUGAAUUAUACACUGAUUCUUAAGUAGGGUCUAUUUUGGUGAGGAGGCUUUGGUAAAUCACCUCACAGCAUCUGAUCUUUGAAAUUGUGGAAUUGUACCAUUGAUGCAAUUAGCUGAAAACAAAUGUAAGAUGAAGAGAAAUGUUCAUUAUAUAUGAGGCAACGUGAAGCUUUAAUAAAGUGUGUUGCUUGACAAAACUUCAAAACAACCAGUCUAUUAAAAUUGCUUCACAAGGCCAAGUUGUUCUUUUACUUCCAAGAAUGAAGCAAGUUGAUUUGAUUUCCUUUGCUUCAGAGCCUUUCCAGGCCUCAAAGUUUGUACUGAGGGAAGCCUGUGUACCAAGAGACAUUAUGGGCCAUUAUGAAGAAUAAAUGGUGUUUUUUUCUCUAAUGUACUAAACAAAGCACAGAAAACACAGUCUUAACCUAGCAUCUGGAUUAAACCAUGUUAGUAGCCAUCACAUCAAAAAGAUAGAAUGUUGCAAUUAGAAAUAUAAGGAAAAUAAUGCUUGCAAUGUCAACUACCCUUCACAGCUAUGUAUUAGCACUCCUACUUUUUUAUUCUUGUCUAUAAAUUGUUAGUUUUGGUAUUUCACUCUGUUGGCCAAAGGCAUAAUUUGCAGCACUGCAAGAUUUACUUACGUAAGUUCCUCUCACUCAUCCUGACCAAGUUUUACCAGAAGCAACUUAAAAGACAUCAAACCCCACUCAAACAUGGAAGAGAAAAAUACCUUUGGUGACUGUUUCUAAAAGGUCAAGAUGAGUUUCAACCAUCUUGAGAGACCUGUGAAGAAGACAAGAUGCUCUCCGAAUCUGCAAUGUUUGCAGCAAUGCCUGCAGAUAAGACUGCUGUGCAGCUGACUCAGAAUCAUCAACAGACUAUUACAACCACAUGGCAUUACAGUAGCACACUAACUAAAGCUCUCCAAAACACCCUAAGUAAACCGAAACUCCUAGCAGCCCCAGAAGAAAAAGCAGGAGUCAUCUACAAUAUAUAGUGUAAGGAUUGUAACAACCAUUAUGUAGGACAAACAGGCAGAAGACUAGCUGAACACAUUCAUGAAUAUCAACUAGCAAUCAGAAAACAUGAUGAAAACUCCUUAAUUUCACAACAAAAGGAUAGACUCAACCAUAGUUUUGACUGGGAAACUGUGAAACCAAGAUCAAGCCAAGACCAAAGUUAAAGAAUUCCUGGAAGCCUGGCACAUAGACAAAUUGGUCAUCGAUGGUCACAUAUUGAUAAACAAGAUCUACAUAUCAUUCAAAAGAGACAAUCAAAAAGCCCGAAUGAAAACAAAAAGACCAAAACACCUCCUCCCCAGCAAUCAACACCCAAAUGAACAGAGAAUAACAUCAAGAUUAAUAUUAGAUUAACAAUCAAGAAGUAAACAAUAUCUCAAUCAAGGAACUAUCAACUCAGACCAACAAGCUAACAGUAUACUGCCUAAUCAAGGAACCACCAAGAACAUUUCCACUAACACUGACAGGGCAAGCCUCUAGUUAGUAUAUAAAAAUAAGAGCAAACCCCAUUCUCUACUGAUAAUGUUAUCUAGUUUGGUAAUGAAACAUCUGUAAGAAAACCAUCAAACUCAGAGAGUAUCAAGGACACCACAGUUUAACCCUGAGCUACAAAUAUUCUCCUCUAUCUGAGUUGACUUAGUGUAAACCUGACAAAGAAUGGACAACCCCCCCUUUUUUUUAGGAGUGUGUCUUAAUGUUUAGCAGGAAACUUCUUUGCUCUCAUUUUAUGUGGCUGACAUUACUUUUCAUGCACAGAUUGAAAAAGGUGAAGCUCAAUUGAUUCUCCUGCAAAAGAUUCGUUUUCCUACUUUCAUAUACUUUUUCACAAAGUGCUUGCCCUUUCCGCAUCUCUGACUUCCCCAGAUCAGAUUGAAGCUAUUAUUAAGAAUCCUUGCUUAUUCCAGAGAAAACAAGAAAUCUAUGUCCUAGGUAGUAACCACAAAACACCAUUAUUUGGACAGCUAUUACUGGCAAAAUCAAAAUGUGUGUUAAAUUAUUACAGCUUUAACAAAUUAGAUGAGUGUGUAUUUUGCAAGCCUGGUUUAUUGCAUUACAUUAACCAUAUCUUUGAGAUACAGAUCAUUCCUCUCUUCCCCAAAUUACAAAAAGACCAGAAGAAAGAAAAACUCUCUCUUAUUCACUUCAUAUUUUAUGAAGCCCUUUCAGUUAUAAAAAAGACUUUGAAGUGUUCAAUUCACUGAAAUGGGAAGGCAGAAGCAUUGCUGAGUUCAUGAAUGUUUCUUAUUUUUCUCUAAAAUUGAAACUCAGAAACUGCAGAAACUUUUAAGAAUUCAGAAAUUCAAAAACAAUUUGUUAUGAAUUAAGGCAUGCUAGCUUGGAAACUGAACAAUAUUGUACAGAGAGGUUCAGAGAUCACAUACAUAGGUUCAUAAAUGAUGCCAGUUGAAGACAAAAUAGCCAGUAAACAAAGUAGAUUAGUGUGAUGUGUAAAACGCAUUAAAAUAUUGUAUAAACCCAGACAGUAUCAGUCAGAACCUAAGCACUCAGGGGUGUUAAAAAAUGUAAUGUUUAUACACAAAGAUAUAUGCAGGAUAUCUUUUUCAUAAAAGGAAUUUGUUAAGUUCACUAGAUGGUGAUUGUUAUUACAAAUGCAUCUGAUUUUGAUAACCAUACCACUAGUAAUAAAAAGAUACUGUUAUCUAGUUAUUGUGCAAUUUACAUUUGUAUGUCUUUUGUGCAAUGUUCCUAUGACCCCAAUCCAUCCUGUAAAACUUAGCAUAACAGUCUCUGAUUGAGAAUAUUUUCUGAUCAUGGAUGGCUAGACUACAAAGCAUUCAACAUACCAGACAUACUUUACAUAUUGUAUUAUGAGACAGUUGCAUAGUCACCAUUUCUGUCUGCUAACCAAGCAGUGCAAAUAGAUGUACAGGCACUGGGGAAUCAAUAAAAUGCUGUAUGUGUCUUCUACUCCCUUGUAUUUUAUAGGAAGAAUGCUCAUUAGAGGGUGUGUCUAAUUUGCCUGCAACUUUAAAAGCAGUACUAUAGUUCUGGUGAUAAGCUGGAGAUUUAAAUGGACACAGAGAUGGUUCCCUGUUCUGUUUUGUGAGGUGAGGCAAGACUGCUGAUGCAUGUUGCUGAGUUUUUUGUACUUUGUACUGAACAUCUAAGGGACUUCCUAAGUUUUUGUAUCCAGAAUGAAGGGAAUACUCCAUUUGUUAAGUUUUGUUCAUGUAUUAUUUGAUACCCUUCAGAAUAAAUGUUUUCCCAAGGUGACGUAAAACAUUUUAAAGUCAUAACUGACAGUACAACUAUAUAACAUAUAAUUGGUACUAAUUUCUUAGCAAUGGAGCAUAAAACAGAAGAAAUUAAUCAAAAGGGUCCUCUGCAAUACAAUAUUAAUCUGUUUAAUAUUUAUGAUAUUAAGAUCCUCACAUAUAUUAAAAUGUGAGUUCUGAGGUCCCACUGAAGAAGCCGAGUUUUGGGUAGCCAACAUACAUCAGAAUUCUAUUUAUAGUUUAUUUAUUUAGUGUAUGACACAACAUACAAGGAUUUGCAAGGUAUAUUAACAUUUCACCUAAAUAAAAAGAUACAAGUAAACUAUGAAUAUUAAAAAGAUCUAUAUUCAAAUACUAAUGUCUAGGCUAGGGGUCCCCAACCCCCGAUCCCUGGACCAGCACUGGUCCGCGGCAUGCCAGAAACCGGUCCAUGCAAACAAGCAAAGACUCAUCUGCAGGAUGCAGGUAGCACACAAUACCACACCCCCUCCGGUCUGCGAAAAAACUCUCUCUCCAUAGAACUGGUUCUUGGUGCCCAAAAGGUUGGGGACCUCUGAUCUAGGCCAUCUAGCAGCAUCAUUUAUCUAAAAGAAAUCAGAACUGGACUGGUAUAUGCCUUCAUUUUACAACUGGUCAGGAUGUGAUCUACAAUUUGACAUGAGACCUCCACAGUCACUCUGAGGGGAGGAUGCUAGCCCCAUUUAUAUAGUGAAUCCCAGCAGAUACCGUGUGAGGUGUAAAUCCUAUUCAGGAUUGUUUAAUGUUGGUGAAGUAAUUCAAAGCCUAGCACUUUUUGCAUAGGAUUGUUUAUAUGUCUUCCUGUCUUUCUUUAGGCAUUCAGCAAAUCAUUUGGCUUUUCAUUGGGAAUCAGUGUUAAAUUUGUUAAGCAGAUGUUGUGCAAGCGCCAGUGGGGGCUUCCUAGAUUUGAACCUUCCAAUUGAUAAAUAAGAGUUUGUAGUUGAAUUACGUUGGCAGAAAAGCCACCAUCCAACUUUCUUUGCAUUUGUAUGUGUUUUGUGUGAUGUUUGUAUGACCACAAAUUAAUUUCUGGGUGCUGUUUCUGAUAUGGCAAUAUCCCAAAGUAUUGGGAGGGAGAAUGGCUCUACAUGAUGUGAAGAUCCAGUCUAAACUAUUAAUCCAAUGUUUGUAGCCCUUUUCCUUCUCUUCUCAAAGUUAGUCUUCUUUCUAUAUCCUGUACCAUUUUUCCACCUAUCAGCACUAAAAGACAAGUUAGAUUAGAAAUCUAACUUGAUAAUCAACACAUUUCUGUUGUAAUAGAUCAGGGGUGUCAAACUCGCAAUGUCACAUGACGUGUCGCGACAUAUCACAAUUUUUUUUCCAUUGCCA